AUUGAACGCUGGCGGCAUGCCUUACACAUGCAAGUCGAACGGUAACAGGUCUUCGGAUGCUGACGAGUGGCGAACGGGUGAGUAAUACAUCGGAACGUGCCUAGUAGUGGGGGAUAACUACUCGAAAGAGUGGCUAAUACCGCAUGAGAUCUACGGAUGAAAGCAGGGGAUCGCAAGACCUUGUGCUACUAGAGCGGCCGAUGGCAGAUUAGGUAGUUGGUGGGAUAAAAGCUUACCAAGCCGACGAUCUGUAGCUGGUCUGAGAGGACGAUCAGCCACACUGGGACUGAGACACGGGCCAGACUCCUUCGGGAGGCAGCAGUGGGGAAUUUUGGACAAUGGGCGAAAGCCUGAUCCAGCAAUGCCGCGUGCAGGAUGAAGGCCUUCGGGUUGUAAACUGCUUUUGUACGGAACGAAAAGCCCCGGGUUAAUACCCUGGGGUCAUGACGGUACCGUAAGAAUAAGCACCGGCUAACUACGUGCCAGCCGCCGCGGUAA
rnacentral:rRNA from 1 species